rnacentral:rRNA from 1 species
AUUGAACGCUGGCGGCAGGCCUAACACAUGCAAGUCGAGCGGCAGCGGGUCCUUCGGGAUGCCGGCGAGCGGCGGACGGGUGAGUAAUGCCUAGGAAUCUGCCUGGUAGUGGGGGAUAACGUUCGGAAACGGACGCUAAUACCGCAUACGUCCCACGGGAGAAAGUGGGGGGUCUUCGGGCCUCACGCUAUCAGAUGAGCCUAGGUCGGAUUAGCUAGUUGGUGGGGUAAAGGCGCACCAAGGCGACGCUCCGUAACUGGUCUGAGAGGAUGAUCAGUCACACUGGAACUGAGACACGGUCCAGACUCCUACGGGAGGCAGCAGUGGGGAAUAUUGGACAAUGGGCGAAAGCCUGAUCCAGCCAUGCCGCGUGUGUGAAGAGGGUCUUCGGAUUGUAAAGCACUUUAAGUUGGGAGGAAGGGCAGCUAGUUAAUACCUGGUUGUUUUGACGUUACCAACAGAAUAAGCACCGGCUAACUUCGUGCCAGCCGCCGCCGUAAAAC